CUGACAUAGACUACGUUUUGUAGGAUUUCCUGUAGCUUUUGAAUGUGACUUAAUCUAAACUUUAUUUCAUUUGGUAUUUUAUCUAUAAUUUUCUUGUUUUAGGGGCCUCUUGAACUAAAAAGAACAAACUGGGAAAAACAUAAGCUAAGGUUCCAUUUCCUUUCCCAUUUUUGUUGUGUGUGUGUGUGAUGGUUGUAAAUGCUUGAAUGUGAUUUUGAGAUUACCAUACACAACUUCUGUAACGCUGGACUUAGCUUUAUUACAGUAAAGAUACAUCUUUUGAUAGUUUAUUACUAUAUGUAUUUUUGUAAAAAUCUUCAUGUCAGUAUAAGCCACAUUGUUUCACCCUAGUCUGGUUAUAUUUGUGAGGUGAAACAGAUGGAUAAGAAGGAAGCCCUUUUACUUUUACAAUCAUUUUAAAUUGAUUGUUUCUAAAGCCUUGAUUUAUCUUAUUUUGGACACUUUCUUGCCAUUUAACCUUGGACAAAUGACUUUAUCAUCUCUCUCCUGCUCAUUUGUUUGUGACCAAAGAUUCACAACAGUAUUCUAAGAAUUGGUGAGGGUGUUUAUAAAUCUAAAUAAUAUUUUAGGAAAAAGUAGGAAGAAUGAGUCUCCUUGUUUAUCACGGGUGCUAUAUCAUGUGCAGAUCCUUCUGUCACUUCUUAACUUUUGUUUGGUGUCUGUUGGCCACUUGUUUGCUAGUUAUUUCACCAGACAUAGAACUGGUUUUUAAAGAAAGGUAUAAACAAAGUGACUUCAUUUUGGUGAAAAAUGCAUUACAGCAGAGGUUACAUCUUAACGAAUUUCACUUUGGUACUCCAUUUCUACAGAUUAUUGAGAGAGAGCUGUUGUGAUGUUUAAGAGAAAAGCACCUUGCUUGUAUAAAGCUAAGGUGCAGUCAUUUAGCAGAUACUCCUAGUUAUUUUACUUUAAAAUAAAAAAUAUAAAGGAAACUAAUUGAAUCAAACCAUUUAGAUUUUUAGAUGUUUCCUUCUUUUUUUUUUUGUUAUAGUUUAAAGAGAGGUUUCUGUAUCAUGCUUUACUUGAGGCAUACUUAUGUGCCCUUCUUUUGACUUUUUCUCCCCUUUUGGGCCAAGACUUCAGUAGGAAAUAAAAGAGACCAUCUGAAAAAUGAUAGCAGUUAAAAUAUGUUAUAACUUGACAUUACCGUUCUAUGGGUAACGUUAUCUUAUGAAAUAAUAUAGGGCUAAGGACAGGAGAUCUAGAUUUUAGAUCUAUCUUUGCUUGCUAUACAUUAGAUCUCCGAGUUUAUUGUUAACCCUCCUUGGGCUUCAGGUCUCUCUGUUUAAAUGAGAAUUGUAGAAUAGAUAACUUUCGUUUUCUUUAGGUCCCAAAUUUAAUGGUUUGUAUAUCUAGUUAGGUUUUUGGUAUUCAUUGUUGUGUUUGUCGUAAUUGAAUCCCCAGAAAGAAAUGCUGUACAAAAAGCAUCAAUUCCCUCAUGAAAUGUGUAUGUGUAAAACCUGUCAUGAAGCUGUGGGCCAGGCGUGGUGGCUCACCCCUGUAAUCCCAGCACUUUGGGAGGCCAAGGCGGGCGAAUCACUUGAGGUGACCAGUCUGGCCAAAAUGGUGAAA
rnacentral:lncRNA from 1 species